UACAGGGGGUGCAAGCGUUGCUCGGAAUUAUUGGGCGUAAAGCGCGCGUAGGCGGCCGCUUAAGUCGGAUGUGAAAGCCCCUGGCUCAACUGGGGAAGUGCACCCGAAACUGAGUGGCUUGAGUACUAAAGAGGGUCGCGGAAUUCCCGGUGUAGAGGUGAAAUUCGUAGAUAUCGGGAGGAACACCGGUGGCGAAGGCGGCGACCUGGGUAGAUACUGACGCUGAGGCGCGAAAGCGUGGGGAGCAAACAGG
rnacentral:rRNA from 1 species